GGCAAUAUGGCCGAGCGGUCUAAGGCGCCAGAAUCAGGUCACAUCAUGUGAUCCUUUAGCAAUCUGGUCCGAAAGGGCGUGGGUUCGAAUCCCACUGUUGUCA